rnacentral:piRNA from 1 species
UUCAGGUUCUAGUCAACGAAGUAUUUCUGG